rnacentral:lncRNA from 1 species
GUUCAACUGGAUAUGGCUCUUAAUUUCUUUCCUUAUCUUUCUGACAGCCACUGUGGAUUACACAACACCAGAAAGAAAGAACUCCUUUUCAUCUACCGCCGCACCAGAGACAAAUGGAGAAAUAUCAACCCCAGAAUCACUGACUACACCUAAUGAAGCCAAUGUGGAUUACACAUCUGAAAGAGAGAAUUCCUUUUCAUCUACCACGGCACCAGAGACAACUGGAGAAAUAUCAACCCCAGAAUCACUGACUACACCUAAUGAAGCCUCUGAUGAUUACACAACACUGGAAUCAGAUUAUUCCUUUUCAUCCACUUUCACAGCAGAGAGCACUGGGGCAAUAUCUACCCCAGAACCACUGACUACAGCUAAUGAAGUGGCAC